rnacentral:rRNA from 1 species
CAGUCGCCGCGGUAAUACGUAGGUGGCAAGCGUUGUCCGGAAUUAUUGGGCGUAAAGGGCUCGCAGGCGGUUUCUUAAGUCUGAUGUGAAAGCCCCCGGCUCAACCGGGGAGGGUCAGUGGAAACUGGGAAACUUGAGUGCAGAAGAGGAGAGUGGAAUUCCACGUGUAGCGGUGAAAUGCGUAGAGAUGUGGAGGAACACCAGUGGCGAAGGCGACUCUCUGGUCUGUAACUGACGCUGAGGAGCGAAAGCGUGGGGAGCGAACAGGAUUAGAUACCCCUGUAGUCCCUGUCUCUUAUAU